GAUGAACGCUGGCGGCGUGCUUAACACAUGCAAGUCGAACGGUAAGGCUCCAGCUUGCUGGGGUACACGAGUGGCGAACGGGUGAGUAACACGUGGGUGACCUGCCCUGCACUUCGGGAUAAGCCUGGGAAACUGGGUCUAAUACCGGAUAGGACCGCACCGUGAGGGUGUGGUGGAAAGUUUUUUCGGUGUGGGAUGGGCCCGCGGCCUAUCAGCUUGUUGGUGGGGUAAUGGCCUACCAAGGCGGCGACGGGUAGCCGGCCUGAGAGGGUGGACGGCCACAUUGGGACUGAGACACGGCCCAGACUCCUACGGGAGGCAGCAGUGGGGAAUAUUGCACAAUGGGCGGAAGCCUGAUGCAGCGACGCCGCGUGGGGGAUGACGGCCUUCGGGUUGUAAACUCCUUUCACCAUCGACGAAGGGUUUCUGACGGUAGAUGGAGAAGAAGCACCGGCUAACUACGUGCCAGCAGCCGCGGUAAUACGUAGGGUGCGAGCGUUGUCCGGAAUUACUGGGCGUAAAGAGCUCGUAGGUGGUUUGUCGCGUCGUCUGUGAAAUUCCGGGGCUUAACUCCGGGCGUGCAGGCGAUACGGGCAUAACUUGAGUACUGUAGGGGAGACUGGAAUUCCUGGUGUAGCGGUGAAAUGCGCAGAUAUCAGGAGGAACACCGGUGGCGAAGGCGGGUCUCUGGGCAGUAACUGACGCUGAGGAGCGAAAGCAUGGGGAGCGAACAGGAUUAGAUACCCUGGUAGUCCAUGCCGUAAACGGUGGGCGCUAGGUGUGGGUUUCCUUCCACGGGAUCCGUGCCGUAGCUAACGCAUUAAGCGCCCCGCCUGGGGAGUACGGCCGCAAGGCUAAAACUCAAAGGAAUUGACGGGGGCCCGCACAAGCGGCGGAGCAUGUGGAUUAAUUCGAUGCAACGCGAAGAACCUUACCUGGGCUUGACAUAUACAGGAUCGCGCCAGAGAUGGUGUUUCCCUUGUGGCUUGUAUACAGGUGGUGCAUGGUUGUCGUCAGCUCGUGUCGUGAGAUGUUGGGUUAAGUCCCGCAACGAGCGCAACCCUUGUCUUAUGUUGCCAGCACGUUGUGGUGGGGACUCGUAAGAAACUGCCGGGGUUAACUCGGAGGAAGGUGGGGAUGACGUCAAAUCAUCAUGCCCCUUAUGUCCAGGGCUUCACACAUGCUACAAUGGUCGGUACAGUGGGUUGCCAGUCCGUGAGGGCGAGCUAAUCCCGCAAAGCCGGUCUCAGUUCGGAUCGGGGUCUGCAACUCGACCCCGUGAAGUCGGAGUCGCUAGUAAUCGCAGAUCAGCAACGCUGCGGUGAAUACGUUCCCGGGCCU
rnacentral:rRNA from 1 species